GCCCUUCCUUCAGCAGCACAUAUACUAAAAUUGGAAUGAGACAGAGAAGAUUAAAUUGGUUCCUGGACAAGGAUGACACACAAAUUUGUGAAGCAUUCCAUAUUUUA
ensembl:snRNA U6 U6 spliceosomal RNA